AUGCUGUCAAUUGCAGAAUUCAAUUUGUGCAAACUGCUCAAGAUCCGGCUAGUGGGGCUGGCGGCAAUCGAAAGGGAAAGAAAGAGACAAGCCUCCAGGGUGCUCUCGCUGCGAGCAGGCAACGCCAGCACGAAGUUCUUCCACGCCAAGUGUUGCUCCAGAAGACGUAAAAACUUCAUCCAUACAAUUCAGAGCGACGAUCGAUGUGCCACGGCGCAUAGAGACAAGGAGCAGAUUAUCCACAAGCACUUUAGCAGCAUGAUGACCGCAGGCUCGGGGCGACGUGUGACUCUCAACUGGAGCGCACUGCAGCUGCCAAGGGUUGAAGCGGCAGGGCUGGAUAAUCCAUUCUCGGAGGGAGAGGUCUGGGCAGAUCAUGCAGUCACCAGCAGAGAAGGCGCCAGGCCCUGA
rnacentral:rRNA from 1 species